AGGAUAAUAGUUAAAUUAACAUUUAAUUUGCAUUUAAAAAAUACUGCCUAUCAGUUUAUCUUU
rnacentral:tRNA from 1 species